rnacentral:rRNA from 1 species
GACGAACGCUGGCGGCGUGCUUAACACAUGCAAGUCGAACGGAAAGGCCCUGCUUGCAGGGUACUCGAGUGGCGAACGGGUGAGUAACACGUGGGUGAUCUGCCCUGCACUUCGGGAUAAGCCUGGGAAACUGGGUCUAAUACCGGAUAGGAGCCAUUUUUAGUGUGAUGGUUGGAAAGUUUUUUCGGUGUAGGAUGAGCUCGCGGCCUAUCAGCUUGUUGGUGGGGUAAUGGCCUACCAAGGCGGCGACGGGUAGCCGGCCUGAGAGGGUGGACGGCCACAUUGGGACUGAGAUACGGCCCAGACUCCUACGGGAGGCAGCAGUGGGGAAUAUUGCACAAUGGGCGCAAGCCUGAUGCAGCGACGCCGCGUGGGGGAUGACGGCCUUCGGGUUGUAAACUCCUUUCGCUAGGGACGUAGCUUUUUGUGACGGUACCUAGAUAAGAAGCACCGGCUAACUACGUG